rnacentral:misc_RNA from 1 species
AACGGUCUAUACCUGCGGUACCUGCGGAAGGAUCAUUACAGAGUUACUACUCCAAACCCAUUGUGAACCUUACCUAUGUUCUGUUGCCUCGGCGGCGCGGUCAGCGCCCCUCUGAAAAGAGGACGAUGCCCUCCCGCCGGCAGCACCAAACUCUUGAAUUUUACAGCGGAUUACAGUUCUGAUUUAAAAACAAAAAAAACAAGUUAAAACUUUCAACAAUGGAUCUCUAGAUCGGAAGAG